UUUCCCUCAGGAUAGCUGGCACUCGCUUGAGCGAGUCUCAUCUGGUAAAGCGAAUGAUUAGAGGCCUUGGGGCCGAAACGACCUCAACCUAUUCUCAAACUUUAAAUGGGUGAGAUCUCUGGCUUGCUUGAACAUUGUGAAGCCACGAGAUUAUCGAAAUGGAUCAGAGUGCCAAGUGGGCCAAUUUUGGUAAGCAGAACUGGCGCUGUGGGA
rnacentral:rRNA from 1 species